rnacentral:rRNA from 1 species
UGAGGAAUAUUGGUCAAUGGACGCAAGUCUGAACCAGCCAUGCCGCGUGGAGGAUGAAGGCCUUCUGGGUUGUAAACUUCUUUUAUCGGGGAAGAAAAGCACGGUUUCUACUGUGUCCGACGGUACCCGAGGAAUAAGCACCGGCUAACUCCGUGCCAGCAGCCGCGGUAAUACGGAGGGUGCAAGCGUUAUCCGGAUUCACUGGGUUUAAAGGGUGUGUAGGCGGGUAAUUAAGUCAGUGGUGAAAUCUCCAGGCUCAACCUGGAAACUGCCAUUGAUACUAUUUAUCUUGAAUCUUGUUGAGGUAGGCGGAAUAUGUCAUGUAGCGGUGAAAUGCUUAGAUAUGACAUAGAACACCGAUUGCGAAGGCAGCUUACUAAGCAAGCAUUGACGCUGAGGCACGAAAGCGUGGGGAUCAAACAGGAUUAGAUACCCUGGUAGUCCACGCCCUAAACGAUGAUUACUCGACAUACGCGGUACACAGUGUGUGUCUGAGCGAAAGCAUUAAGUAAUCCACCUGGGAAGUACGUCCGCAAGGAUGC